rnacentral:rRNA from 1 species
GGAGGAAAGCAGGGGAUCGCAAGACCUUGCGCUUUUGGAGCGGCCGAUGUCUGAUUAGCUAGUUGGUGAGGUAAAGGCUUACCAAGGCGUCGAUCAGUAGCUGGUCUGAGAGGACGACCAGCCACACUGGGACUGAGACACGGCCCAGACUCCUACGGGAGGCAGCAGUGGGGAAUUUUGGACAAUGGGGGAAACCCUGAUCCAGCCAUGCCGCGUGAGUGAAGAAGGCCUUCGGGUUGUAAAGCUCUUUCAGCCGGAACGAAACGGUCACGGUUAAUACCUGUGACUACUGACGGUACCGGAAGAAGAAGCACCGGCUAACUACGUGCCAGCAGCCGCGGUAAUACGUAGGGUGCGAGCGUUAAUCGGAAUUACUGGGCGUAAAGUGUGCGCAGGCGGUUUUGUAAGUCAGAUGUGAAAUCCCCGGGCUUAACCUGGGAACUGCGUUUGAAACUACAAGGCUAG